AGUAAAUUCGUGUAUUUCAAUAGUGUGGUGCGUGUGGCUGGGAAUUUCAUUUUUUAUGGAUCGACGGGUCCUGGAUGAUCAGCUGUUGUUGAUUGGUAGAUCAUUCUUCUUUCUUGGGGGUUGUCUAGCUCUGUACUAUUUUAAAGGCGUGUGAAAUUUGCUGGGUGUUUGGUUCUUUCAUACAUCGGCUUGCUUUGUGAUUUGCUAGGUUGUUGCUGUGUUGUUGUUGUGAUCAUACAUGGGUUUGGAAUUGACAUGCAAGUUGUUGUCAUUAUCAUCAUUGUGCAUUAAUGCACUCUUCCACUUUGUUUUGGUUUAUCAUCGAUCAUGACCUGGGAGAGCUGCGGUUGUUGGCUUGGACAUGACAUGUUUCUCUCUCUCAUGAAGUGGUUGGUGUUUCAAGUUGGUUGGUCUCUCUAGGAACUGUUCAUUCCCGAUUCUCAUGAAACUAGAUGCGUUUUUUUUCCCUUGCUCAUUCUUUAGCAUAAUUUGUGUUUGUCAUUUUAGUCUUAUUCUUCAGUAUUUUCCUAUGCAGCUAGGCUGCACGACUUUUUUAAAUUCAAUUUGUACAUGAUUUAUAGGCACCCCUCUCAUUUUGCUUCGAAGUUGGUGUGAGAUAGGGUUGGUGUUUUUGAGAGAGGCCUUCCCAACCAUUACUCUCAACUCUUCCACUGUCAAUUUCUUUCCCAAUUGCAGUUCCCUGCUUCUUGCUUUUUAGGAAAUAUAUUUUUCCGGCUGCUGUCUCUCUUCAAUCGGUUAUCUAUUUUUUCCUGCAAUUUUUCCACAUUGUUUUUAUCUUUACCCUUUGUUUUUGUUUCUUCUCACUUUUAAUGUGUUUUUGGCUCUAUGCUUUUUUCAUUUCUGAGUUUUUAGUUGUCUCAGAUGGUUCAGCUGGUGACCUUUUUUUUAGCAGCAUGUUGCUUAACAGGAUUAGUUUGCCUCUGCGUCGGUGCCCUUGGUGACCUAUUAGGUUUGCGAAUUCUUUAUCUUAUGCCUUCUCGGUUAGGAGCAAGGUUGUCUUGCUGGUGGUCUCACUCUUUUCAGAAGAGCUUUAACAACUGAUUGUGCCUUACUCGGCAGGUUUCUCUUUUUCAAGGCGUUUUAGGAACUUCACCAUGUCAUCUCUGUGUUUGUUUGGCUUCCCAAAUCUUAUUUUUUGGUUUUUUAACAGCCUUUCAUACCUUCGUUUCAGGGUGCUUUUUAAGACCUUACCAUUUGUUUCGUGUUGGUCCGUUCUUUUUUAUGUCAUCCUUUUCUUUGCAUUGAAUUUGGCUUGGAACCUAUAUUUAUUUUUCUUUUUGUCAUCUCUGUGCAUGCUUAUGGUCUGAAUUCCUGGUGGCUCUCUCACUACUCUAUCAAUGAUUUGUACCAUUUUCGCUCACCUUGAGUGCUGCAAGGUUUUCUCAUUUGGUUUCUGCCUUUUUUGGUAGUUUUCCUUGCAUUGAUAUUGUGUGUUUGCAUCCCUUCCCCCGCUCCCCUUCCCCUACAGUCGAUUUGAUUACUGUUAUGCUCAAGAUAUCCUCCUUGAUGCAUUUGGCUUUUGUCUUGUGUAAUAAACCAGCCUUUACACUCUUUUUUAAUAUAGUUUUUUUUUUCCCUGUCCCUCUGCCUUGCAAUUUCCAGCGCUGGGCUGGUUUGGUUUACUUUGAUACUAUUUGGUUUGGCUUUGCUUCUCUUUCAGAAGCCUUUCCGUCCUUUUGGGUGCAGCAAUAUGAACAAAUCUUUUUAUUCUUUGAUUGC